rnacentral:rRNA from 1 species
CCUUACUAUAAGUGUUGUCUAGAGGUCUGGUGCCAGAAGACUCGGUAAGACCAGAAACGCAAACGUUAGUCAUCUUAAUCAGGCGUAAAGGGUAUGUAGGCAGCUUUGAAAAUUUUAAUUUUAUACAAAGGCUCUAUUUAAAUUAAAAAAAAAAUAGUGAAAAUAAAAUAAAUUAAAGCUAGAAUCAAAUAGAGGAAAAACCAAAUAAUACUUAGAGUAGGGAUGAUAUCCAAAGAUACUAAGUAGAAUA